rnacentral:rRNA from 1 species
CUUCGGGUUGUAAACCUCUGUCCUUGGUGACGAAACAAAUGACGGUAGCCAAGGAGGAAGCCCCGGCUAACUACGUGCCAGCAGCCGCGGUAAUACGUAGGGGGCGAGCGUUGUCCGGAAUUACUGGGCGUAAAGAGUUCGUAGGCGGUCUGAUAAGUCAGAUGUGAAAGGCGUAGGCUUAACCUAUGUAAGCAUAUGAAACUGUCAGACUUGAGGUAAGGAGAGGAAAGUGGAAUUCCUAGUGUAGCGGUGAAAUGCGUAGAUAUUAGGAGGAAUACCAGUGGCGAAGGCGACUUUCUGGACUUAAACUGACGCUGAGGAACGAAAGCGUGGGGAGCAAACAGGAUUAGAUACCCUGGUAGUCCACGCCGUAAACGAUGAGUGCUAGGUGUCGGGUAGAAAUAUUCGGUGCCGCAGCUAACGCAAUAAGCACUCCGCCUGGGGAGUACGUACGCAAGUAUGAAACUCAAAGGAAUUGACGGGGACCCGCACAAGCAGCGGAGCAUGUGGUUUAAUUCGAAGCAACGCGAAGAACCUUACCAGGGCUUGACAUGCCCCUGACCGCGCUAGAGAUAGCGAAUUAUCCUUUCGGGGAUACAGGGGACACAGGUGGUGCAUGGUUGUCGUCAGCUCGUGUCGUGAGAUGUUGGGUUAAGUCCCGCAACGAGCGCAACCCUUGUAUUUAGUUGCCAGCAUUAAGUUGGGCACUCUAGAUAGACUGCCGUGGACAACACGGAGGAAGGUGGGGAUGACGUCAAAUCAUCAUGCCCUUUAUGUCCUGGGCUACACACGUGCUACAAUGGUCGGUACAACGAGCAGCAAGCUAGCGAUAGCAAGCGAAUCUCUAAAAGCCGAUCCCAGUUCGGAUUGUAGGCUGCAACUCGCCUACAUGAAGUCGGAGUUGCUAGUAAUCGCGAAUCAGCAUGUCGCGGUGAAUGCGUUCCCGGGUCUUGUACACACCGCCCGUCACACCAUGGGAGUUGUCAAUACCCGAAGCCAGUGAGCUAACCAGAAAUGGAGGCAGCUGUCGAAGGUAGGGGCAAUGACUGGGGUGAAGUCGUAACAAGGUAGCCG